GACGUAGGGCGCGAGCGUUGUCCGGAUUUAUUGGGCGUAAAGAGCUCGUAGGCGGCUCGUUGCGUCAACCGUGAAAACUCGGGGCUUAACCCCGAGCCUGCAGUGGAUACGGGCAGACUAGAGGUAGGUAGGGGAGAAUGGAAUUCCCGGUGUAGCGGUGAAAUGCGCAGAUAUCGGGAGGAACACCGGUGGCGAAGGCGGUUCUCUGGGCCUUACCUGACGCUGAGGAGCGAAAGCGUGGGGAGCGAACAGG
rnacentral:rRNA from 1 species